AUUCUUUGGAAGGAUAGCAGCAUGAGCCUGUCUCAAAAUAAUUCUGCAAUGAGACAGGCUUAUGCUGCUAUCCUUCCAAAGAGG
rnacentral:pre_miRNA from 1 species